rnacentral:rRNA from 1 species
UAAGUCCCGCAACGAGCGCAACCCCUAUUCUUAGUUGCCAGCAUGUAAUGAUGGGGACUCUAAGGAGACUGCCUGCGCAAGCAGAGAGGAAGGGGGGGAUGACGUCAAGUCAUCAUGGCCCUUACGCCCAGGGCUACACACGUGCUACAAUGGCGCAUACAGAGGGUAGCGACACUGCGAAGUGAAGCCAAUCUCAAAAAGUGCGUCUCAGUUCGGAUUGUAGUCUGCAACUCGACUACAUGAAGCUGGAAUCGCUAGUAAUCG